AACAUUUGAAUUUCAGAUCUUGUGUGGUGUUAACCAAGUUUGAGCACCAGCAUUCCUAAUGUGCAUUGGCCAAUAUCCUGUCUUCUGCUCAUAUAUGUCAAUUUUAGCUGUUUUCCAGAUUUCUCAGAUCCUCUUGCCGAUUCCCUUAAUCUCAGCACUUCAGUCAGUCGGAAGCUGCCACGAGAGGACAAGAUUUUCCUGGCCACAGAUGCUUUUGGAGUUUCCCUUCUACAGAAGAAUUUCAGGCAGGUUUCCAACAUCUUACAGCGACAAUUCAACUUUGUCCCUGGCAUGUAAGAUUCUUCCAUGGUCCAAAUGACGAAGACAUCCCUGGAGCAAGGUUUCAUCCAAAUUCCAGGUGCCAUAUCAUGAGAACAUUUAAGAAGCCCAAGGAGUGGUACACAUAGCAAGCAACUAAGGCCUCCUUCCAAGAGCCAGCAAGGACCUGAGUCCUCCAGCCAACAGCCAUAUGACUGAGCCAUCUUGCAAGCAUUAUGCAGCCCUAGUCCAGCCUUCAGAUGACUACAGCCCUGGCCAGCACAUCCUGACCAACUCAUGAGAGCUCCUGAGCCAGAACCACCCACCUAAAUCACUACCACAUUCUUGACCCUCAGAAACUGUUUGUAUGACAGGAAAGAAGUACAGUCAUAUCUGAGACUUGGAAAUGGAUAUCUCAGAUACGAGAUAAGAUUAUGAGCCCUUAGCCCACGGUGAUGUGAUCUGGGAAAUCAUGGAGCCAAAAGUCUUAUGAGUGUUCAGUUGACAUUCACCUGAACUGCCUUACAGAGGAAGUCUCUAGAUGAUGCUAAGGAAGAGCAAUGAUUCAGGACUCAUUCAAGCUGCACUGCAGGAGGAUGCUGGUGGAAGCCAGCAUAUAAAAUGAGAAAAGUGUGGAACUGAGAUAGACUACAGGCAUGAAAGAAUAGAAGCACCAAAGUUCAGUGAGUGCAUAACUAUUAGUUUCAAGACAUGAUAGCUAUCAUUUGCUGUCCCCAAAACGUCCCAAAACUUAUAGUUUUAAAUUAAAUCCACCACUGAGGGG
rnacentral:lncRNA from 1 species